CUCUCAUAUACAUCUCUGCUUCUGCAAGCAUAUUUCCGCUCAUGGCCAUGGCCUGCCAUCAUUACAUGAUUUUCACUCUGCAGAGAGUUUUCCGUCAAACCCCUAGGGUUCCGACGAUAGUGGUGACGCAGAACCAGGCGGCGGCGCACUCUUUGGUUUAGUGGGUUAACGCCACUGAUUAUCGUCGUCAAUCGCAGAGAAGAGUAAAGACCCUGUCGGCUGUCGGUAGUUGUUUGGCACCGAUGAUGUUGGUUAUAUGCUUUUUCGCCGUUGUUAGGCGAUGUGGUUGUUGGCUGUGGUUUUGAUUGACAUAUACGCGGUUGCUACUUUGUUGAGGGGUUUAAUCAGUGUACUUUGUUGAGGGUUUUAAUCCGCGAUUAUAGUGGUUUGCUACCUGGCGUGGCAGCUCCGGUUGCAGCCAUGGUGGCAUUGACCCGUGCUUUGUUGGCGAUGAUGAUGACACGGGGUGUACAAAUGGGUCUAAUACUCUAAUUUGUUGCAUCUUUAGGCUUCUUGGAGAUCCAUUGUGUUUUGCGCAAUGGUUGGUUGUACUCUUUGUUAAAGGAGUUGUACCUCUCCUGGGUUUAAAUAACCAGUCCCACAACUUUUUUCCUACCAUUGAAAAUCUCUUAAAAAUGGGUGGAUUUGUGGUUGGAUGAGUUUUUUGUGGUUUUGGCUAUUUUAUUUGGCUUAUUGUUGGCCAGUAUGUUGUCCGGCGCCAAUGAUGCUGCUUAUAUACUUUUUUGUUGUUGUCCAGCAACACGGUUGUUGGCUGUGGUUUUGAUGAACAUGUGUGUAGUUCCUGCUUUGUUGAGUGUUUUAAUCAGCAUUUAUGGUGGCUUGCUACCUGGCAUGGCAACACCGGUUGCAGCCACGUCGACACUGACACGUGCUUUGUUGGCGAUGAUGAUGACACGAGAUGUACAUCUGAGCCUCUUUAUUUUGCAACGACUUGAUUUUUACGAUCAUUUCGUCUCGGUGGUGAUGGACUGGUUUGGUGUCGGUCGUUGAACAGUUGCCCGGUGGUGAUGAACUUGGUGUAAUAUUGUCACUUUUUGGUGCAUUGUUGUUUGUACUGUGUGCAUCGGGAGUUUUUGUGGUGGUUUAUUACAAACCGGUUGUUUGAGGUUUGGUGUUGGUGAAGUCGGUUGCUUAAGCAUCCGUUGUUUAUUUAUGUUUAAGAUUUUGGGGCUUUUGCUUC